rnacentral:tRNA from 1 species
UGGGGGAUAGUUUAAUUGGCAGAACGACGGGUUCUGGCCCCGUUAGUCUUGGUUCGAGUCCAGGUCCCCCAGCCA